GCCUUAUGUAGCUUUUCCUCUGAUUUUCGUUUCCUCGUUCAUCGCGGGCCUUGCUCAUCGACCCAAUGCUUCACAUCUGCGGUCAUAUCCCAAAAGGGUUGCUGAUUGGCAAGGCAAUUCCGAUCAAUUUGGCUGAAUCUGAAAAGACUGUCAAAAUCCCAAUUGUUGGAAACGUUGAUAUUCCUUCCUCGGAUGUCAAACCGGGUGAUUCGGGUGUUUUAAUUCCUAUAGUAAUUGGCUUGUUCCAGUGGAGAUUUCUGAUAAACGACGUGCUUCUGUUCCGGUGUAUGCUUUGUUGAUUAGGGAUUAUCACAGAGUUCUAAAUCAUCUCAGAUUCAAUCUUAAGUUUGUUCAUAAGAAUUUCAGAGCACCAUAUUUUUGAUAAUCAACGUAGUAGAAGAAGGUGAAUGGAUACCAGUUGCGUGCAUCACAAUGGUAAGUUUCUUGUUGAAGGAUCGGGAUAUCAUCAACCUGUUAUAUUGUAGCCAAACAUCUAAGGUCAAGAUUUCUUCAUCAACAUUUCAGCUUGCAGCUUGUGCUAAACUUUCUCUCGAUGUUUUGCUUUUGGUUUCUCCAAAAGUUCUCAUAUGAUUUCUCCAAAAAUUUUCCUACCAAUGUAGGACUCAAAAUGUAUUCCUUACUUAUAAACUUAUGAUCAACCCUUUAAUUAAUUGA